rnacentral:lncRNA from 1 species
GAUUAUUGAAGAUGUGGUGUUGAAUGAGUUUUAUAAGCUAUCUUAACAUGUCAACAUAUUACGAUGAUACAUGAAGUGAUUGGAUAUAAUUGUCAUAGAAGAUGAAGCAGUGCUUGUACUAGUUCUGACGUCAAUACAGGAAGUAGUACAAGAAGGUGAGUUGUGCGAAUACUUGAAGUAGUACAGGAGGCAGUACAAGAAGCCGAGCUGUGUGACUACUUGAAGAGUUGGAGAACAUAAGCUUGGGACCGACUUGGACAAGCCAAGUGGCGGUUGCUGAGCUGGAUGAACAUCUUGAAUAGUACAUUCAAGAUGAGAACGAAGAACAAAGGAAAUUAGUCAAUUCCUAUUUGGUGAAUGAAUAGGAAAAUUGUCAAUCUUUAGGGUUGAGCAAUUGUUAUAAAUACCA